rnacentral:rRNA from 1 species
AUUGAACGCUGGCGGCAUGCCUUACACAUGCAAGUCGAGCGGAGCGGCGGACGGGUGAGUAAUGCCUAGGAAUCUGCCUGGUAGUGGGGGAUAACUUCCGGAAACGGGCGCUAAUACCGCAUACUAUCAGAGCGGCCUAGGUCGGAUUAGCUAGUUGGUGGGGUAAAGGCUUACCAAGGCGACGAUCCGUAGCUGGUCUGAGAGGAUGAUCAGUCACACGUGAACUGAGACGCGGUGCAGACUCCGACGGGAGGCAGGAGUGAGAAAUAUUCGACAAGGAGCGAAGGCCUGUUCCAGCCAUGCCGGGUGUUUGAAGAAGGGCUUCGGAUUGUAAAGCACUUUAAGUUGGGAGGCGUUACCAACAGAAUAAGCACCGGCUAACUCCGUGCCAGCAGCCGCGGUAAUUC